rnacentral:lncRNA from 1 species
GGGAUCGACCAUGCUACCGCCUCAACAAUACCUGUCGCAUAUGUGGGUAGUGCCUAACACUAUGCGAGAAAGUGCCCGAGGAACCAGAACCAAGGAAGACCUCCUUUUCAGGGCAGGGUUUACAACCUUACCCAACAGGAUGUCGACGCUGACCUGGACGUGGUAUAGGGCAAGCCCAAGAAAGAAAUUUGUAUCCAAGAGAUUCCAGUAGUCCGAGACUUUCCAGAUGUAUUUUCGGACGAACUACCCGGACUGCUAGUGGAUAGAGAAGUCGAGUUCACUAUAGACUUACAGCCAGGCACCCAGCUUAUUU